rnacentral:lncRNA from 1 species
UCGGGCAUCUUUUCUUUCUCCACACCGGGCGAAGCGCAACGACAAAUUUCAAAGCAGUUUUCUCCAAACCAAUAAUAGACACGCAGUCGCUCCCAUUUUUUCCUCCUCUUUCCUAUUUUUUCUCGUCAUUUACUCCUCCGCCAACAACCCAACCAAGAGAUAGACCUACUCCCAAACACUCAAAAAAAAAAAAAAAAAACCAAGAGAUAGACCUACUCCCAGACACUCGCCGCCCCAUACCACCCCCGCCCCCACAAAGGAAAAAUCUCGGCCGUCCAUCCGGAAGAUCAACGGUCCCAAGGCGGUGGCGAGGGGCCAAUGCCGUCGUCCGACCGCGAAUAAUCUCUAGAAUCUUCCGUUU